rnacentral:tRNA from 1 species
UCCCUGCUGGCUCAGAUGGUAAAAGCAUCUGCCUGCAAUGUGGGAGACCCGGGUUCGAAUCCUGGGUGGGGAA